UUCUGAGGGCCAAAGACAGCCGUUGGGUUAAUCAAUUGUUCUUUGGAGCAGCUUGGACACCUUUAGAGGGUGGGCUCUAUAGGUGAAAGAACGGCAGGCGGACCGACCAGAAGUUCGUGCUCUGAUGGCCGGGGAUGUGCAGAACUAGAGGAUGCGGAGCCGAUUGACAGCAGGCCUGAGAGAGAGAUCGAGCACUCACAGCCCAACAAAACAAUCAUCUGCUCUGCUGGAGUCAAGCAGCAGGUGCAGCUGGCAAUCUAACCUGCUGCUAGGUUUGCCAUCACCGUCCUUGGGUGACAAAACCAGAAAAAAGCAUGUGAGUAUGGCUGCUCCUGAAUUACUCUGCUGUGCCUGAUGCCAUCAACAGCAGCUCCUAAACACAGGCUUCCCUCAUACCUGUAGACAUACGUGGGCCAGCACAACCUUGUUUAGAUCUGAUUGAUCCAAAUUCAUCUGCUUCUCCUGGCACCCAAGUGGCCUUGGAUUAUGCCACGUUUAGAGAUUUAAGUACAAGCACUAAGAUGCUACUUGCUAUAGGUGGAAUGUUUAUGUUACCUCAAAAUUCAUAUGUUGGAAUCCUAAGCCCCAAGGUAUUAGAAGGUAGGGUCUUUGGGAGGUGAUUAGGUCUUGAGGGCAGAGCCCUCAUGAAAGGAAUUAGUGCCCUUAUAAACGGGGCCCCAGAGUGCUCCCUUGUUAUUUUCUCCAUGUGAGGACACAGUGAGAGGAUGGCCAUCUGUGAACCAGGAAGUGGACCCUCACCAGAUGCAGAAAUCUGCUGGCACCUUGAUCUUCGACUUCCAGCCUCCAGACGUGUGAGAAAUAAACUUGUUGGUUAUAUGCUA